rnacentral:tRNA from 1 species
AGCUCAACUGGAUAGAGCACCAGACUUCUAAUCUGACGGUUGCAGGUUCGAGUCCUGCC